GAAAACGCAUAGGUUAAUACCUUGUGCGGAUGACGGUACCAUCAGAAGAAGCACCGGCUAACUACGUGCCAGCAGCCGCGGUAAUACGUAGGGUGCGAGCGUUAAUCGGAAUUACUGGGCGUAAAGCGUGCGCAGGCGGUUAUGUAAGACAGAUGUGAAAUCCCCGGGCUCAACCUGGGAACUGCGUUUGUGACUGCAUAACUAGAGUACGGCAGAGGGAGGUGGAAUUCCGCGUGUAGCAGUGAAAUGCGUAGAUAUGCGGAGGAACACCGAUGGCGAAGGCAGCCUCCUGGGCCAGUACUGACGCUCAUGCACGAAAGCGUGGGGAGCAAACAGGAUUAGAUACCCUGGUAGUCCACGCCCUAAACGAUGUCAACUAGUUGUUCGGUGAGGAGACUCAUUGAGUAACGCAGCUAACGCGUGAAGUUGACCGCCUGGGGAGUACGGCCGCAAGGUUAAAAACUCAAAGGAAUUGACGGGGC
rnacentral:rRNA from 1 species